GUAGUACUCCCUCCGUCCGAAAAUACUUGUCAGAGAAAUGGAUAAAAAUGAAUGUAUCUAUAACUAAAAUACAUCUAGAUACAUCCAUUUCUGAGACAAGUAUUUCCGGACGGAGGGAGUAUAAU
rnacentral:pre_miRNA from 1 species